CUCCUACGGGAGGCAGCAGUGGGGAAUAUUGGACAAUGGGGGCAACCCUGAUCCAGCCAUGCCGCGUGCGUGAAGAAGGCCUUAGGGUUGUAAAGCGCUUUCACCGGUGACGAUGAUGACGGUAGCCGGAGAAGAAGCCCCGGCUAACUCCGUGCCAGCAGCCGCGGUAAUACGGAGGGGGCAAGCGUUGUUCGGAAUUACUGGGCGUAAAGGGCGCGUAGGCGGAAGAUCAAGUCAGGGGUGAAAGGCCUGGGCUCAACCCGGGAACUGCCUUUGAAACUGAUUUUCUAGAGUACGGGAGAGGAUGGCGGAAUUCCCAGUGUAGAGGUGAAAUUCGUAGAUAUUGGGAAGAACACCAGUGGCGAAGGCGGCCAUCUGGCCCGGUACUGACGCUAAGGCGCGAAAGCGUGGGGAGCAAACAGGAUUAGAUACCCUGGUAGUCCACGCCGUAAACGAUGUGUGCUAGCCGUUGGGGCCUCAGGCUUCGGUGGCGCAGUUAACGCGUUAAGCACACCGCCUGGGGAGUACGGCCGCAAGGUUAAAACUCAAAGGAAUUGACGG
rnacentral:rRNA from 1 species